GUAUGUGAGGGUGAUCUGACUAUGAUAUCCGUCACCCCAGUGAUCACCCCAGUGAUCACCAGGGUUGAUUUGGUUGGCAUGUCUUGCGAGGUGGGUGUCCCCUCCUCCCUCUUUCCUUCCUCCUAAAGCUGUGCACUUGGUUGAAGAGGAUGACUUUCCCCGAUAGAGGAGGACUGCUCUUUGGUCAAGGGUGUACAAGUAGCUGUUGUGCCCUGCUAGAACCUCCAAACAAGCUCUCAAGGUCCAUUUGUAGGAGAAUGUAGGGUCGUCAAGCUUCUAAGACUCCCAAUAUACCCAAAUGAGGCACUGCAUGUGGCAGUCUGCCUUU
rnacentral:snRNA from 1 species